AGCACUCUGAGUGUCAGGAGUGGCGAGUCUGUGCUAUACGCAAUGCAGGCACAUCGCAGCUCGAUCUUGAUCCUAUUCCUAGCGUGACCUUCAUCUUCAGAUCUCCAGGAGUGCCCUGGGUGUUACAUCCAGCAUCCUUCCCUGGAACAGGCUAAGUACUGGCAUUGCUUGCUUGCCUCUCCUAUUCCUUGGCUUUGCCCAGGGAGAACCAGGCUUGGCAACUCUGCAAAAUGCUUCUAACUUUUUCUGUGUGUGUGUUUGAUUUCUAUACCCAGGAAACCUGCUAUGGGUCUAGGAGUUCAUAACGCAUCUGCAACAAAACAAGAGGUGCUCUGCAGCCUGGCGUUGGGAAGGAGCUGGUUGCCUUUGAGACCCAGCAGGCAGCCAGAUGGAGCACAAGGCAUUCAGCAAGUCCCAAGCAGAGGUAGCCUCUCCCUGGAGACACUGUUAGAGGCCUCCAUAUCUUUCAGAGAGGCUGACACAUUUUCCUAAUGUACGGGUCCAGGGAUGCUGGACUAUCUAGCUGCAGCGAUGGAGAGCUGGCUCAGCUUGGCCACCACGCAAGUUUGUGCAGGGGAAUCACAAGCCAAAAGACGAAGGAGCUGUUGGGAGCAAAACACUACGGAUAAGCCCCACACCUCUCCUCUGCAGGGCUUCACGUGUGCUUCCGCCUGGCACAAAGGCAGGCCAACUGAAACCUGAGGACACACGAGUCUUUUGACAGUGAAUUACCUCUGUGUUUCUGAAACUGAGCUGUGGGGCGGUGGCAGGGGAGGAGCUGGGUUCAGAAAUGUGGCCUUUCUCGCUCUGCUCUCCUGCUUUCCAUUGCCCGGCCCAUAUCUCCGCUGUGCCACCCACUGCCCACCUUCCCUGCCUCCACAGCUUCUCCUUCCCUUUGGCUCCAGAGAUGUAACCUCAAUGCCUAUGUCACCAAUCGCGUAGCUUUAAAGCCAACCGUUUUCCCAGAUGAAGGAUAACCGUAACCCACACUGUACCCUGGGGCGUAUCGGGUGCCUGAGAGCUCUCACCUGAAUGGCAGCACUGCUGGGAUAGGGCUUAGCUCCAAAAUCGCCUUGCAGGUUGCAGGGAGCCAGCUGUCCUGUUCGCACAAGAAGCUGGGGAGAUCCUUGUCCCCAAGCCCAGAAUGUCUGUCUUUUAUCCCAGAAUGCAAAUGCCCCACUGAGCCUCCUUUGCUGAAGAUUGCUUUGACAAAUAGAAAGAUUCUUUGGCAUUUGCAUAGGGCCUUAUAAAUAGAGCUGGUUGUGAGAAAGCCUGCUCUACAUUAGUCACUUGGUAAAUACCGAUUGUGACACAGUGGUUUCUUAAGGCUCGAGCAACGUUUGUAGAGUCAUAGAACAUCCCGAGCUGGAUGACACACGGGGAUCAUCGAGUCCAGCUCCUGGCUCUACACAGGACCACCCAAAAUCCAAACCCUAUGUUUGAGAGAGUGGUCUAGGUGUUUUUAGGACUCCAGCAGCUCAGUGCUGUGACCACUACCCUGGGGAGUCUGUUCCUUACCCAAAUGGACCCUCCUUGGAUGCAGCUCCAUGCUGUUCCCUCUGCUCCCAGUGAGGAGCUGUAGCUACCAUGAGGUCCCCCCUCAGCCUCCUCUGCUCUGGGCUGAACAAACCCAGGGACCUCAGCCGCUCCUCACACAUCUUCCCCUCCAGACCCUUCGCCAUCUUUGUAGCCCUAAGCGUGAUGGAGUGUGCUGAGGGAUGCCAUCAUUCACUGUCAAGGAUGGAUGAGGAAGAGGUGGCCCUGAGCCCCAGGCACUGCAAGCUGAGCUGUCCGUGCUUGCAGAGCACUGGCUGCAGGCCUGGUAGCAACAAGCUUGGUUCAGAGGUAGAGGGAGAAAGCAGGUAAAGCUCUGUCCCUGUGAGCUGCUGGGAGCCUGGUGGGUGCUGUCACGUGGCUGGAAGCCCUUUGGAGGCUCUCUGCAAGCAGUGCAUGGAAUGAAGAAGAAACUCCCUGGGACUUGAGGCUAUGGCCAGCAGGUGUAGUGAAGGCCACAAGUCCUCCUGUUCCUCCAUGGUCGCAUCAGCUCCACGCUACAUGCCAAAGGGCUCCUCAUGAACCAUCACCUCCGGAUCAUGUCUCUAUCCUAGGCCACCAGCAGCAACAGGUCCUAGCAGCUCAUAAAUCUGCGUUUGCAGCCUGCUAUCCUAAUGAGCAUUAAUGUGUAUGCACUGCUUUGCAUAAGAAACGCGUGCCUCUUAACUUUCCUGUUUCAUCUUUAUAGUUGUGAUAAUCCCCACGUUACUGAGGUGUACUCCCAUAGGGCACAGUGUCUUCUACCUGCUGGCAGCUCAGGCUUGGAGUCUGGCCUUCAGGCUGCACAGGACCACUCGCCUGUCUAGGAAGGAUGGUUUUCAUGCUUACCUUUCUUUAAGCCUGGCAGGAAGAUGGAGAAUCACAACUGUUCUGCUCAACUGCUGAAAGGCACCACCGCUAGCUUAUUUUUCUGCAUUGGAAAAAAUAUAUUUUCUACUGUAAAGGA